rnacentral:rRNA from 1 species
UACGUAGGGGGCGAGCGUUGUCCGAAUUUACUGGGCGUAAAGCGCGCGUAGGCGGACCUUUAAGUGGAGGGUGAAAUCUCAAGGCUUAACCUUGAAACUGCCUUCCAAACUGGAGGUCUUGAGGUAUGGAGAGGGAAGUGGAAUUCCUGGUGUAGCGGUGAAAUGCGUAGAUAUCAGGAGGAACACCCGUGGCGAAGGCGGCUUCCUGGCCAUAUCCUGACGCUGAGGUGCGAAAGCCAGGGGAG